AUUGAACGCUGGCGGCAGGCCUAACACAUGCAAGUCGAACGGUAACAGGAAGAAGCUUGCUUCUUUGCUGACGAGUGUCGGACGGGUGAGUAAUGUCUGGGAAACUGCCUGAUGGAGUGGGAUAACUACUGGAAACGGUAGCUAAUACCGCAUAACGUCGCAAGACCAAAGAGGGGGACCUUCGGGCCUCUUGCCAUCGGAUGUGCCCAGAUGGGAUUAGCUAGUAGGUGGGGUAACGGCUCACCUAGGCGACGAUCCCUAGCUGGUCUGAGAGGAUGACCAGCCACACUGGAACUGAGACACGGUCCAGACUCCUACGGGAGGCAGCAGUGGGGAAUAUUGCACAAUGGGCGCAAGCCUGAUGCAGCCAUGCCGCGUGUAUGAAGAAGGCCUUCGGGUUGUAAAGUACUUUCAGCGGGGAGGAAGGGAGUAAAGUUAAUACCUUUGCUCAUUGACGUUACCCGAAGAAGAAGCACCGGCUAACUCCGUG
rnacentral:rRNA from 1 species